GAAGUGGUUGAUGCCAUGCUUCCAAGAAAAGCUUCUAAGCUUCAGGUAACCAGGAACCGUACCCCAAACCGACACAGGUGGUCGGGUAGAGAAUACCAAGGCGCUUGAGAGAACUCGGGUGAAGGAACUAGGCAAAAUGGCACCGUAACUUCGGGAGAAGGUGCGCCGGCUAGGGUGAAGGAUUUACUCCGUAAGCUCUGGCUGGUCGAAGAUACCAGGCCGCUGCGACUGUUUAUUAAAAACACAGCACUCUGCAAACACGAAAGUGGACGUAUAGGGUGUGACGCCUGCCCGGUGCCGGAAGGUUAAUUGAUGGGGUUAGCGCAAGCGAAGCUCUUGAUCGAAGCCCCGGUAAACGGCGGCCGUAACUAUAACGGUCCUAAGGUAGCGAAAUUCCUUGUCGGGUAAGUUCCGACCUGCACGAAUGGCGUAACGAUGGCGGCGCUGUCUCCACCCGAGACUCAGUGAAAUUGAAAUCGCUGUGAAGAUGCAGUGUAUCCGCGGCUAGACGGAAAGACCCCGUGAACCUUUACUGUAGCUUUGCACUGGACUUUGAGCCUGCUUGUGUAGGAUAGGUGGGAGGCUUUGAAGCGUGGACGCCAGUUCGCGUGGAGCCAUCCUUGAAAUACCACCCUGGCAUGCUUGAGGUUCUAACUCUGGUCCGUGAUCCGGAUCGAGGACAGUGUAUGGUGGGCAGUUUGACUGGGGCGGUCUCCUCCUAAAGAGUAACGGAGGAGUACGAAGGUGCGCUCAGACCGGUCGGAAAUCGGUCGCAGAGUAUAAAGGCAAAAGCGCGCUUGACUGCGAGACAGACACGUCGAGCAGGUACGAAAGUAGGUCUUAGUGAUCCGGUGGUUCUGUAUGGAAGGGCCAUCGCUCAACGGAUAAAAGGUACUCCGGGGAUAACAGGCUGAUACCGCCCAAGAGUUCAUAUCGACGGCGGUGUUUGGCACCUCGAUGUCGGCUCAUCACAUCCUGGGGCUGAAGCCGGUCCCAAGGGUAUGGCUGUUCGCCAUUUAAAGUGGUACGCGAGCUGGGUUUAGAACGUCGUGAGACAGUUCGGUCCCUAUCUGCCGUGGACGUUUGAGAUUUGAGAGGGGCUGCUCCUAGUACGAGAGGACCGGAGUGGACGAACCUCUGGUGUUCCGGUUGUCACGCCAGUGGCAUUGCCGGGUAGCUAUGUUCGGAAAAGAUAACCGCUGAAAGCAUCUAAGCGGGAAACUUGCCUCAAGAUGAGAUCUCACUGGGAACUUGAUUCCCCUGAAGGGCCGUCGAAGACUACGACGUUGAUAGGCUGGGUGUGUAAGCGUUGUGAGGCGUUGAGCUAACCAGUACUAAUUGCCCGUGAGGCUUGACCA
rnacentral:rRNA from 1 species